rnacentral:rRNA from 1 species
UACAGAGGUCUCAAGCGUUGUUCGGAAUCACUGGGCGUAAAGGGCGCGCAGGCCGCGCGGGCAGUCAAAUGUGUAAUUCAGGGGCUCAACCCCUGCACUGCGGUUGAUACUUCCGCGCUAGAACCUUGGAGAGGAGUCUGGAAUUCUCGGUGUAGCAGUGAAAUGCGUGGAUAUCGAGAAGAACACUAAGGGCGUAAGCAAGACUCUGGACAAGCGUUGACGCUCAAGCACGAAGGCUAGGGGAGCGAACGGG